UUUCAAUUGAUAAUUUUUUAGGUUAACAGCAUUGAGCUCUGCUAAAGACUGUUCUCGCGAUGUAUGCGGUCUCAGACGUUGCGGGAUAACGUACGUCGCACUCAUUACCUAACAUCCCUUCCUGAACGUUAUUGUACAAAAGCCCAGUUAUGCUCUCAUUACCUCCGACAACAUCAUAUUUUACUCGAUUUCUAGAAGCUAAGGCGAGUUAUAUUUUUAAGAAUAAGAAAAUUUAUUUUGAAAGGGAGCUGUGUUUUGAAAAGAGAAAAUGAAACAUUUCUGAAAAAGCAAUGAAAGCAAACCAUUACAUCAUAUCUGACCUCAUUUCUCCCUGAGAUUAACCCAGGACUUGAAUUUCAGAUCUUUAUUGUUGUAACCGUAGGCCACCUAAUAGCUUACCGACUACUGUUUAUGUCUGUGAAAAGGGAAGGGUUGGCACCAGUUUAUCUCAGUUCGAUAAUGGACAGGGCGCAUGCGUUGGUUGAUUUGUUUCUGCUCCUCUAAUAGUAAUAGUAACUAUAAUCAAUUUUUAUAGCGCUUUUUAUAUCAAAUAUCCAAAAGCGCUUUACAAUAUAAAACGAAAAUACAAUUAAGAACAUGCAAUGUAAUA